ACAAAAAUUGAAACUUGAAAAACAACAAUAUUAAAGAAGCGAAAGCAUAAGCCUCAGAAUGGGAGAAUAUAAAGGUAUAACUAAUAAAGGAUUGCCAUCCAGAAUAUUUAAAGAACUACAAUAAGGAAAACAUACCCCAAUUAAAAACAACGAGGCAAAGGGUGGGGUUAAGUUAUUUACCGAGCUCAACUACCCUAGAACUCAGGGAAAUACAGACCAAAGCAACAAUAAGAUACAAUGUUAUACUCAUCCUUUGGAUAGAAAUAGGAAAGUCUAAUUAUAGCAACUGUUGGUGAGAAAUGGGAACUGUCCUACACAGCUGGUGGGAGUGAAAAGGAGUACAACCUGUUUGCAGGGGAAUUUGUCAAUACCUAGUAAAGGUGAAGAUGUACACAUACACACGGAUCCAGUAAUUUCACCUCCAAAAUAUGCUGUGGAGAAAUUCUAGCACAAACAACAGCAUAAGAAGACUUAAAACAGUCGCUGCCUGGUUGUCUGGAGUACGUAAUGCCAAGUAUCUUGUCAGUGGGGAGAUAGAAGAGUACAUUUGAUAUAUUUAUUCAGUGCAAGUUAAAGUGAAUGGGGACGCUACAUGUGUGUAGGUACAUCUAAAAAUCAUUGGGUGAAAGAAGUUCUAGUAUGAUUUUACAGUAUACCUUUUACAUAACAUUUGAAAAAAAGUACAAAACAAGACUACAUAUUUGCUAUAGAUUUGACUUGUUCGACGAGCAUUAAGUGGCUAGGUGGAUGGCAUGUGGUGGGACUUCUUGCUAGAAGAGGAAGCUGUAAAAGUGAGCCCAACCAAUUUCUUUAUGGUUACUAAAAAUGCAGGUUGAGCAAGUAGAUUAAGAAAGCCUCAGAACUUUGUUUUCCCUCUUCCUCCCUUUAUGACUUGCUCAUAAAACAUGACAAUAGGAGACAAAUAUGAAAACAAUGAGGACAGAAAUCUGUGUUUCUAGAAAGAAUGGAAUGGGUAUAAAAUGGGUAUGAAGCGGUAAGAAAUUGCCUUUCCAGGACAGACAAGCAACUGCCCCCACCUCACCCCCACCAACACUUCCUUUUCCUCAAGACAUGUUGAAUGUUUUGUUUUCUCUACCUUUAACAACCAUCUUUGUCCCUAAGUAUAUAGCAAUAGACUUUAAAAAUGCAUUUCAGGCCGGGAAUCUGGCCCGGCG
rnacentral:lncRNA from 1 species